CGGGGGAGGCCGGAUCCUGGGCUGUGUCCCGGCGCCCUGUGCUCCGGGGCCUGCGCUGUUGGAUUUGCGCUCCCGCCCCGCAGCCCCCU
rnacentral:pre_miRNA from 1 species